rnacentral:misc_RNA from 1 species
AUUGCCUGCUGUUGGCUACUAACUGUUUCACGGAGUGCAGUACAUUCAUUCUCAAUUUGCACACGAGGAUUUGAGAAGAGAUCAAAUCCAGGUAUAUAGAAUCGAUUUCCUUCCUCAAACUCAUUAUAUUUUCGUUUCACAGACCGGAACCAAGAACCUGGGGAGUAAGAAGAUACUAAAGAACAACUACACCCACAAUUACAACAUUUCACCAAAGCCUUCACCUUCACGGUCAAGGGGUAGGUGAAAGUACUUCCAAAUCCAUAAAGCAAUUAGCAUUAAAUUUUACAAUGAUUGAAGAUCAAUUCAGUAUCAUUACUACAGAUAACAAAAUUAACGAUCUAAAAUGAACGUGUAAAAGGAGGAUCUUUAUCUUUGGAACUCUGAAAUUCUCUCUCCCCGUUGAUUCUACAGAUCUUUUAACGUCAAUUACUUCCCUUCCUCAAUUCUAAUUACCAGCUACUUUUCAUCUGAGAUCAGUAAUCACAUGCAAAUGACCUAAAAAAUAAGAGAGAAUACAAAAUUAAACCCUAAAAAUCUAAAAUAUUAA